rnacentral:sRNA from 1 species
AUCGUUCGGUGGAAACGAGAAUAAAGCGUGAAGGAUAACGUUGCGUCAGCAACGGCCCGUAGGGCGAGGCGAAGCCGAGUCAUCCUGCACGACCCACCG